CCCCUCCGGCCGGGCGCUGAUUGGCGGAGCGGGACGUCGCUCGGCAGGGGCGGGCCGCGCCCGGCGCGCAGCCCGAACAGGUACAGACUGGUGUGUGCCACGGAAGGACUGCUCGCCUGGCCUGUUUAGACCGGAGUUAUUUCUGAUGCAACUGCGUAAACGCUACGCCGUUCGUUAAACCAAGUGCCCGGAACCUCAGCGACGAAGGAGAGCUGAAAUAAAAAAAGAAAAGAAGCCAGGGAAUUGUGUCCCGGGUUUCCCCUAGCCCCUGCGGGGGCCGGUCGAUGAGCCCGUUGUUGGGUAGGGGUUGUCUCUGUUUGGUGCUGAAUUGUACUUUCCAAGCGCUUCGUACGGUGCCCUGCACACGGUCGGUGCUCAAUAAAUACGACGGAA